rnacentral:rRNA from 1 species
GGGGGCUAGCGUUAUCCGGAUUUAUUGGGUUUAAAGGGUGCGCAGGCUGACCGGUAAGUCAGGGGUGAAACUUUACAGCUUAACUGUAAACGUGCCUUUGAUACUGCCGGACUAGAGUUUAAGAGACGUAAUUGGAAUGUGAUGUGUAGCGGUGAAAUGCUUAGAUAUAUCACAGAACGCCGAUCGUGAAGACAGAUUACGAACUUAAUACUGACGCUCAUGCACGAAAGCGUGGGGAUC